UACAGAGGGUGCGAGCGUUGUCCGGAAUCACUGGGCGUAAAGGGCGCGUAGGCGGCUCAUGAAGGCUGUGGUGAAAGUCCGGGGCUCAACCUCGGAUCGGCCGUGGCGACUCGUGGGCUGGAGCACUGUAGAGGCGGGUGGAAUUCCGGGUGUAGCGGUGGAAUGCGUAGAGAUCCGGAAGAACACCAGUGGCGAAGGCGGCCCGCUGGGCAGUGGCUGACGCUGAAGCGCGACAGCGUGGGGAGCAAACAGG
rnacentral:rRNA from 1 species